rnacentral:lncRNA from 1 species
GUCACAAAACUUGGCAACACGUUUAUAUAUUUCUGUACCGAUGUUUGAUUUUACAGAAACACAAGGGGAAAAGUGGUGUUAUAUAGAUCAAAUGUAACUAGAGUCACCUAAAAGUAAAUCAAGCAUAUCGGCAGGAGUUAAAAAGGUCGUUCCACCAAGAACAACUUCUACAUCCGCUCUUCCGCUUUCAGAUAAUGCCUCCUGAGCUUCAACUUAUAAAGUAA